UUGAAUGAAUUUAGGAGUUGGUUUGAUGCUGGCCGACAACCCCAAGGGCAUGUGCACGCCUUCUCCUUCAUCCACACACACCCCUGUGCACUUGUGAGACGGAGGAUUAAUUUCCUCCGUCUACUAAUCACACAAACUCAUUGUAAUUGAACUGAAUGUAAUUGAUGUAACACAUCAUUUGAAC
rnacentral:misc_RNA from 1 species